CUUGCUCUUUCCGGAAUUGAGUGGCAAACGGGUGAGUAACACGUAAACAACCUGCCUUCAGGAUGGGGACAACAGACGGAAACGACUGCUAAUACCGAAUAAGUUCCAAGAGCCGCAUGGCCCAUGGAAGAAAAGGUGGCCUCUACCUGUAAGCUAUCGCCUGAAGAGGGGUUUGCGUCUGAUUAGCUGGUUGGAGGGGUAAAGGCUCACCAAGGCGACGAUCGGUAGCUGGUCUGAGAGGGUGAACGGCCACAUUGGGACUGAGACACGGCCCAAACUCC
rnacentral:rRNA from 1 species